UUCUAUGAUAGGUAUUUACAGCUUCAGUUCAUACGAAUUAUGUUGAUUGUAACCGUUGGUUUGGUGACUUUAUUCUUUCAAAGAGUGUGGACAACGAGAUCGUGUUGUGGGAACCACAAAUGAAAGAGAAUUCCCCUGGAGAGGGUACUGCUGAUGUUAUACUAAGAUACCCGAUUCCGAUGUGCGAUAUUUGGUUUAUCAAGUUUUCUUAUGACCUCCAUUUCAAUUCUGUCGCAAUAGGUAAUCAGGAAGGAAAGAUUUAUGUCUGGGAUUUAAAAACUUGUCCUCCUGUUUUGAUGACAAAGUUAUCACACAAUCAAUCAAAGUCUGUAAUCAGGCAAAC